UCGGUGCGACAAGGUGUAAGCCAACCCUGGUUGUCCUACCCGGGGGGAGUGUUAGCCACUACGUAGCUAGCGCACCUUACUCACUUCCUAGCUACGCCGCUGUUACUGGUGAGUGGUAAUGAUCCAUCUCUUAUCAACGAUCCGGUGAGUACCGAUAAGAAUAGAAGGGAAGAACCAAAACAAAACAGGUAGGCGGAAAACUAAUCAGAAUUCGUCAUCAGUGAUAGAAUAUAAUUGCAUUGCCCAAGUUUCUUAGCUAGUGUUAAUCUAAUCCCAGUUGUACUGAACUUAAAUACAAUAAUUAGUUAAGUGCUGUAGGAGCUGAAUUGUAUCUACUAAAAUAGAGUUAAAGCAUCAGCGGGAUAGCUUGAUGAUCCCUAAGUUUAAUAGCCGAGAAUAAGCAAACAUACAUUACGAUAGCAAGAUAAUUACUGCAGAACUGCUUACAAAUAUCCUUCUGUGAACCUCCUGUCGCGCCAACCAAGCCUGAUUGUCAGCACAUGUUGUAUGAAAACCUAGUGAAGGGACUAAACGUAAGUCGCAACAGUUUUCUAACCAUAAAAGUAAAACCUAUAGCAUACAAAUGGGAAACCAGGGGUUCCCAUAACAAUACAUACGUAGCAUCAUAGUAGUAAAUCUAAAUGAAAAUGUUAUCAAUCAAUAUGCAUCUAACAGCAAUUAUGGUAUUCUUCAACAGGAAAUUAUAUUCUUCCAAUACCGAAUCACUCGUGUUUAAUUUGCUUUCGGUCGGAGAAUAACGUUUCGGAAAUCGUUCCCGUUGAAACAGAGUUUCAAAAAUCACAUUUCUGCCUGACUGAAAUCCCAUUUC